rnacentral:ribozyme from 1 species
AAAAAAAAAAAAAAAAAAAAAAAAAAAUACUUUUUGUCCUUUCCUUAUGACGGGUCGGGGUCCAUUUUUAU